rnacentral:rRNA from 1 species
UACAUGGGGUGCAAACGUUGCUCGGAAUUAUUGGGCGUAAAGCGCACGUAGGCGGUUCGUUAAGUCGGAUGUGAAAGCCCUCGGCUCAACUGAGGAAGUGCACCCGAAACUGGCGAGCUUGAGUACGAAAGAGGAUCGCGGAAUUCCCGGUGUAGAGGUGAAAUUCGUAGAUAUCGGGAGGAACACCGGUGGCGAAGGCGGCGAUCUGGGUCGAUACUGACGCUGAGGUGCGAAAGCGUGGGGAACGAACAGG